UACAGAGGAGCCAAGCGUUGUCCGGAUUGACUGGGCGUAAAGCGCACGCAGGCGGAUGCGCGCGUGGGGUGUGAAAUCUGGCCGCUUAACGGCCAGGCGCCAUCCCAUACGGCGCGUCUGGAGUGAUGCAGAGGUCGAUGGAAUUGCCGGUGUAGUGGUGAAAUGCGUAGAGAUCGGCAGGAACACCCAGGGGGAAACCAGUCGACUGGGCAUCUACUGACGCUGAGGUGCGAAAGCGUGGGGAGCAAACAGG
rnacentral:rRNA from 1 species